GCACUGUUUCGGCUAGGGGGCCAUCCCGGCUUACCAACCCGAUGCAAACUGCGAAUACCGGAGAAUGUUAUCACGGGAGACACACGGCGGGUGCUAACGUCCGUCGUGAAGAGGGAAACAACCCAGACCGCCAGCUAAGGUCCCAAAGUCAUGGUUAAGUGGGAAACGAUGUGGGAAGGCCCAGACAGCCAGGAUGUUGGCUUAGAAGCAGCCAUCAUUUAAAGAAAGCGUAAUAGCUCACUGGUCGAGUCGGCCUGCGCGGAAGAUGUAACGGGGCUAAACCAUGCACCGAAGCUGCGGCAGCGACGCUGAUGCGUUGUUGGGUAGGGGAGCGUUCUGUAAGCCUGCGAAGGUGGCCUGUGAGGGUUGCUGGAGGUAUCAGAAGUGCGAAUGCUGACAUAAGUAACGAUAAAGCGGGUGAAAAGCCCGCUCGCCGGAAGACCAAGGGUUCCUGUCCAACGUUAAUCGGGGCAGGGUGAGUCGACCCCUAAGGCGAGGCCGAAAGGCGUAGUCGAUGGGAAACGGGUUAAUAUUCCCGUACUUGGUGUUACUGCGAAGGGGGGACGGAGAAGGCUAUGUUGGCCGGGCGACGGUUGUCCCGGUUUAAGCGUGUAGGUGUGUGUUCCAGGUAAAUCCGGUUCACUUUAACACUGAGGCGUGAUGACGAGGCACUACGGUGCUGAAGCAACAAAUGCCCUGCUUCCAGGAAAAGCCUCUAAGCAUCAGGUAACAUCAAAUCGUACCCCAAACCGACACAGGUGGUCAGGUAGAGAAUACCAAGGCGCUUGAGAGAACUCGGGUGAAGGAACUAGGCAAAAUGGUGCCGUAACUUCGGGAGAAGGCACGCUGACACGUAGGUGAAGUGAUUUACUCAUGGAGCUGAAGUCAGUCGAAGAUACCAGCUGGCUGCAACUGUUUAUUAAAAACACAGCACUGUGCAAACACGAAAGUGGACGUAUACGGUGUGACGCCUGCCCGGUGCCGGAAGGUUAAUUGAUGGGGUCAGCGCAAGCGAAGCUCCUGAUCGAAGCCCCGGUAAACGGCGGCCGUAACUAUAACGGUCCUAAGGUAGCGAAAUUCCUUGUCGGGUAAGUUCCGACCUGCACGAAUGGCGUAAUGAUGGCCAGGCUGUCUCCACCCGAGACUCAGUGAAAUUGAACUCGCUGUGAAGAUGCAGUGUACCCGCGGCAAGACGGAAAGACCCCGUGAACCUUUACUAUAGCUUGACACUGAACAUUGAGCCUUGAUGUGUAGGAUAGGUGGGAGGCUUUGAAGUGUGGACGCCAGUCUGCAUGGAGCCGACCUUGAAAUACCACCCUUUAAUGUUUGAUGUUCUAACGUGGACCCGUGAUCCGGGUUGCGGACAGUGUCUGGUGGGUAGUUUGACUGGGGCGGUCUCCUCCUAAAGAGUAACGGAGGAGCACGAAGGUUGGCUAAUCCUGGUCGGACAUCAGGAGGUUAGUGCAAUGGCAUAAGCCAGCUUGACUGCGAGCGUGACGGCGCGAGCAGGUGCGAAAGCAGGUCAUAGUGAUCCGGUGGUUCUGAAUGGAAGGGCCAUCGCUCAACGGAUAAAAGGUACUCCGGGGAUAACAGGCUGAUACCGCCCAAGAGUUCAUAUCGACGGCGGUGUUUGGCACCUCGAUGUCGGCUCAUCACAUCCUGGGGCUGAAGUAGGUCCCAAGGGUAUGGCUGUUCGCCAUUUAAAGUGGUACGCGAGCUGGGUUUAGAACGUCGUGAGACAGUUCGGUCCCUAUCUGCCGUGGGCGCUGGAGAACUGAGGGGGGCUGCUCCUAGUACGAGAGGACCGGAGUGGACGCAUCACUGGUGUUCGGGUUGUCAUGCCAAUGGCACUGCCCGGUAGCUAAAUGCGGAAGAGAUAAGUGCUGAAAGCAUCUAAGCACGAAACUUGCCCCGAGAUGAGUUCUCCCUGAGACUUUAGGUCUCCUGAAGGAACGUUGAAGACGACGACGUUGAUAGGCCGGGUGUGUAAGCGCAGCGAUGCGUUGAGCUAACCGGUACUAAUGAACCGUGAGGCUUAACCUUACA
rnacentral:rRNA from 1 species